AUGGACAAAGUUGCAGGCACUGUCCCUCAAGACAUGGCAGGAGCCACAGAACCCCUCUCUGUUCUGAGCCAGGAAGAGAUAGCCUUAACAUGGGCAGCACCACAUCAACUGGGAUCUACACCUGAGUGAGCAUGCACAUCAGGAUACAGUUAGAGCUGGCCUCAGGGUCUCUGGUGCCUGGCUACUGGAGGUGCCACUAAAGGGUCCUGCUGGGCUCUUUCUGGCUUUAGACUCUAGAUUUUAGCAGCCAAUGGUACUCACAGACACACACUGGCAUUGGGAGACAGGACAUAGACGUUGUUCUCACACAAUGGGUAGAUGAUGACGGCCUUGCCCCAGUAUACCAGGUGAGCUGCGAGCUGGAAGACCUGCAGACCAAGGGGAGAUGGAGGGACUGAACUUGGAGGCCAUGGCCUUCCUGCCUACACUCUGGAACACCUCCAAUCUAAAGCAGCACUGUACCACCCCAGCCCCUGGGUUGUGUACAGGUGCCCUCAGAGACCAAAGGCAUCAGAUGGAGUUCCCAGAAGCUGCCUGAUCUGGGUGCAGGGCAUCCAGCUCAGGUGCUCUGCAAUAACGACAGAAUGAACCACCUCUCCAGCACUAUUUAUUAGUGAUUCAUCAAGACAAAACUCCCAGAAUUUUAUGCUCUCUGGA